rnacentral:rRNA from 1 species
CGAUGGCUCAGGAUGAACGCUAGCGACAGGCCUAACACAUGCAAGUCAGGGCAGCAUUGAGGUAGCUGCACUUCAGAUGGCGACCGGCGCACGGGUGAGUAACGCGUAUGCAACCUGGCUUCGGCUACGGGAUAGCCUUGCGAAAGUAAGAUUAAUACCGUAUGCGAUAUGGAGUGACAUCACUUUAUAUUGAAAGAUUUAUCGGCAGGAGAUGGGCAUGCGUCUGAUUAGUUAGUUGGCGGGUAACGGCCCACCAAGACAUCGAUCAGUAGGGGUUCUGAGAGGAAGGUCCCCCACAUUGGAACUGAGACACGGUCCAAACUCCUACGGGAGGCAGCAGUGAGGAAUAUUGGUCAAUGGACGGAAGUCUGAACCAGCCAAGUCGCGUGAAGGAAGACGGUUCUAUGGAUUGUAAACUUCUUUUGCCCGAGGGUAAAGUGAGCUACGUGUAGCUUAUUGCAAGUAUCGGGUGAAUAAGCAUCGGCUAACUCCGUGCCAGCCGCGGC